GAGAACGCUGGCGGCGUGCUAACACAUGCAAGUCGAGCGGGUUGAAGCGAGAGGUAACUCGAGCUUCUACCUAGCGGCGGACGGGUGAGUAACGCGUGGGCAACCUGCCUCAAGGUUUGGGAUAACAGCCCGAAAGGGCUGCUAAUACCGGAUAUGCCUAUGGCCUCGCAUGGGGCUAUGAGCAAAGGGGAAACCCGCCUUGAGAUGGGCCCGCGUCCCAUCAGCUAGUUGGGUGAGGUAACAGCUCACCAAGGCGACGACGGGUAGCCGGCCUGAGAGGGUGACCGGCCACACUGGGACUGAGACACGGCCCAGACUCCUACGGGGGGCGAGCAGUGGGGGAUCUUGCACAAUGGGCGAAAGCCUGAUGCAGCGACGCCGCGUGAGCGAAGAAGGCCUUCGGGUUGUAAAGCUCUGUCUGGAGGGACGAACAAAAUGACGGUACCUCCGGAGGAAGCCACGGCUAACUACGUG
rnacentral:rRNA from 1 species